UACGUAGGGCGCAAGCGUUGUCCGGAAUUAUUGGGCGUAAAGAGCUCGUAGGCGGCUUGUCGCGUCUGCUGUGAAAGACCGGGGCUCAACUCCGGUUCUGCAGUGGGUACGGGCAGACUAGAGUGAUGUAGGGGAGACUGGAAUUCCUGGUGUAGCGGUGAAAUGCGCAGAUAUCAGGAGGAACACCGAUGGCGAAGGCAGGUCUCUGGGCAUUAACUGACGCUGAGGAGCGAAAGCAUGGGGAGCGAACAGG
rnacentral:rRNA from 1 species